AGCAAAGAAGGAAUUGAACCAUCAUCAAAAAACUCAAAAUUUUACGCAUUUCUCUUAUGCUAUUCACUA
rnacentral:tRNA from 1 species